CUACGGGAGGCAGCAGUAAGGAAUAUUGGUCAAUGGAGGCAACUCUGAACCAGCCAUGCCGCGUGCAGGAUGACGGCCCUAUGGGUUGUAAACUGCUUUUAUACAAGAGAAAACCCUGGUACGUGUACCAGGUUGAUAGUAUUGUAAGAAUAAGCAUCGGCUAACUUCGUGCCAGCAGCCGCGGUAAGACGAAGGAUGCAAGCGUUAUCCGGAUUCAUUGGGUUUAAAGGGUGCGUAGGCGGACUGAUAAGUCAGUGGUGAAAUCUCUUUGCUUAACAAAGAAACUGCCAUUGAUACUGUCGGUCUAGAGUAUAGAUGACGUUGGCGGAAUAUGACAUGUAGUGGUGAAAUACUUAGAUAUGUCAUAGAACACCGAUUGCGAAGGCAGCUAACGAAACUAUAACUGACGCUGAGGCACGAAAGUGCGGGGAUCAAACAGGAUUAGAUACCCUGGUAGG
rnacentral:rRNA from 1 species